AAUCAACGCUGGCGGCGUGCCUCAGACAUGCAAGUCGAACGAUUAAACUUUCCUUCGGGAAAGAUAUAAAGUGGCGCACGGGUGAGUAACACGUAGGUAAUGUACCUUUGGGUGGGGAAUAACUUAGGGAAACUUAAGCUAAUACCGCAUAAUGCAGCGGCUCCUUCGGGAGACAGUUGUUAAAGAUUUAUCGCCUAAAGAGCAGCCUGCGGCAGAUUAGCUAGUUGGUAAGGUAACGGCUUACCAAGGCGACGAUCUGUAUCCGACCUGAGAGGGUGGUCGGACACACUGACACUGAAUAACGGGUCAGACUCCUACGGGAGGCAGCAGUCGGGAAUUUUGGGCAAUGGGCGAAAGCCUGACCCAGCAACGCCGCGUGAAGGAUGAAGUCUUUCGGGAUGUAAACUUCGUAAGAAUAGGAAGAAUAAAUGACGGUACUAUUUGUAAGGUCCGGCUAACUACGUGCCAGCAGCCGCGGUAAU
rnacentral:rRNA from 1 species